AGAGGAAUAGCUGGGUCAAAUGGUGGUUCCAUUCCCAAUUUGCCAAGAAAUCUCCAUACUGCUUCCCAUACUGGCUGCACCAAUUUGCAGUCCCACCAGCAGU
rnacentral:pre_miRNA from 1 species